rnacentral:rRNA from 1 species
UACGUAGGGGGCAAGCGUUGUCCGGAAUUAUUGGGCGUAAAGAGCGCGUAGGCGGUCCGAUAAGUCGGCUGUGAAAGUCAGGGGCUCAACCCUUGAAAGCCGGCCGAUACUGUCGGACUAGAGUCCGGAAGAGGCGAGUGGAAUUCCUGGUGUAGCGGUGAAAUGCGCAGAUAUCAGGAGGAACACCAAUUGCGAAGGCAGCUCGCUGGGACGUUACUGACGCUGAGACGCGAAAGCGUGGGAGCAAACAGG